rnacentral:lncRNA from 1 species
UCCGCUGUGCCUACUUUAUCUACAACCUGCGUGAGGUAAAAACCAACACGCUGAGCUAAUGCUCAGUGGGUGAUAGCAACAAAUAACAGAAUAAAACAAACAAGUUCACAUAUAUAGAUAAUCAAGUAAACAAUUUCAAGCUAAUCAAAAGUUGUUAACAUUCACUGAUAAUUUCACCAAAACAAGUAUCAAUCUUAAUUUGGUCCUUAGCCCUUAUAAACACAUAGUAGAGUCGACUAGGUAGAUAAGGAGUUAUAACGGUAGGCACAGGGUACCAAACGAUAGGCUCAGAGGGCAAAACUGUGAUAGCAGGGCUCUAUGACCGUGCUUAUGAGGUACCUGAUAUGUAACCUCAAAUAAAAAUCAUGUAUCGGUAGCAGUACUGCGAACUCUGUAUGUUUAUAUGGCAUGCCAUACCCUUAAGCUAACCUCGACUCCUAUUACGUUUACCAGGGCCAAGUAUCAAUAAUUCAAUGUGAAUGCAUAUCAUUUGAAGCUAAUGAAUUCAUUUUCCAAAGUACAUAUAUCAUAUGCCAAGGUUUACAAUAUGGAAAACUCAUGGCAAAUAGUGCAAAACUUUAUUGACUUAACAUUUCAAUAUAGAAAACUACAUUCUGCCAUAUAUUUCAUACACUUUUCAAGCUGUUUAGAAUCACAAUUUGACUUCAGUUUCUUCAUAACAAAUGUACAUCUAUGUCUUAUCUUUCCAACAAGGUAUAAUUCAUGCAAAUCUGAUCAUCCUAGCUUAAGUUAUGAAUUUUUCUUUACAAGCUGCUCAAUAAGGUCUUAAUCAGUCCAGUAUUGGUACUUGUUAAUAGUAUCACAAAACUUAUCAGAUUCAUACAUUUCCAUACAAAUUCAAGCUUAAAUGUCUUCUACAAAGUUUUAGGUAUACUUCUUAAGAUUCAUUUGGCACUGGUCUUAACAAAUUUCACUAAGUAUGUAAUUAGUUAUGGUAUAAUCAAUAGACUCUGUUCCGGAUGCACUACCACUGUGUCCAUUUUAGGUUCACUUGCAAUUUUCAGCAUUUUAACUACAGAUUCAGAAUUUUUUCAAUUCAUGAAAGUUUUAGAUAUUUGUCUUAGCUUUCAUUUGGUAUAUCUUAGGCCUAAUUUCAAUAUAUACACAAUAAGUUAUGAAGUUAGUAACACAAGCUGUCCUGUUACAACCUAUUCUGCCAGAUUUACACUUUUAGCUCCCAUGUUAAAUUUCUUUACUCUAAGCCUUUCAAACAUCAUUUUAACAUUCAUAUAACAUAUUUAGACAAUCAAAGCAACAUUUCCAGCAAGUAAAAUCAACCCCUAAUUUCACUUAUUCAUGGCAGAAUCAAAGGAAAACAGAAAAUCAGUAAAACACCAAACCUUUCUUGAAUUCUUCUUUUCUUUUCCUCUUCUAAUCUCUAGCUAUCUCCUUUCCCUUUGAUGUUCCUUCACCUAGUUCAAUUUAUGUCUUAGGAAAGGAUUGAAUAAACUAUAAACUAAAGCUUUAUAAUUCAGAUUCAUGCAUGAAGAAAUGAAAAGAUGUUGUUUCCUACACUUUUCUAAGCUUACCUUGAUUUUCAAGCUUGGUGUAUAUGGAACCCUAAACUUUUCUUCUUCAAAUCCUUCACUAUAUGGCUGUUCCUUUAGCUCCUGGUCUUAGGAUAAAUUUUGGUUAAAGGAAGAAGCUGAUUUGGUGAGGUUUGGUUUGGCUUUGGUGAGGUUUAGCUUAGCUUUGGUGGGAGAAAGAAAAGCAAAGCAUUUUCUUUUAACAAAAUGGAUGACCUACGGCAAUGGGAAGGAAGAAAGAAGACAGCCACUUUUUCUAUUUUGCUUUGUCAUUCUUUCAUGCAUAAUUAGGUGACACAUCAUCCUUUAACUUUCCAUAUUUAUGCUUUGACCUACUAAACUCUUUACCAUGUUUCAAUUUAGUUUUCA